UACAGAGGGUGCGAGCGUUAAUCGGAAUUACUGGGCGUAAAGGGCGCGUAGGCGGUAGAGGGGGUGUGAUGUGAAAGCCCUGGGCUUAACCUGGGAAGGGCAUCGCAAACUAAGCUACUGGAGUAGAUGAGAGGGUGGCGGAAUUUCCGGUGUAGCGGUGAAAUGCGUAGAGAUCGGGAGGAACACCGGUGGCGAAGGCGGCGACCUGGGUCGACACUGACGCUGAGGCGCGAAAGCGUGGGGAGCAAACAGG
rnacentral:rRNA from 1 species